rnacentral:lncRNA from 1 species
UAAGUACUAGUAAGUACUUUUUUAGGAUUUUUAUUCUUUGUUUUAUUUUACUUUGAGCAUCGUACAAGUCAGAUUUUGUGCUGGCAUAUUCAGAUGGGCUCUUCCUAGCUGUAUUAUCUGCCAGAGGACACCUCUCAAAGCCAGAACUUUAGUGAAAGAUUUGAGACCGGUUAUAACAUGGAGUGCGUUGCUUUGGCAUGAGCAUCGACGACUAUAAUGCCGCUUGGUUAAGAGGUGGGCUGAUGUCCCUUCUGAUUAUACUAAUGAUCCGGAUAUCUACGAGAGAUAUCGCCACUCAACGAGAUUCUA